CGGGCAGGUGGCCGAGUGGUUGAAGGCGCACCCCUGCUAAGGGUGUAGGCGUGGAAGCGUCUCGAGGGUUCGAAUCCCUUCCUGCCCGCCAG
rnacentral:tRNA from 1 species